rnacentral:snRNA from 1 species
AGCUUUGCGCAGUGGCAGUAUCGUAGCCAAUGAGGUUUAUCCAAGGCACGAUUAUUGCUAAUUGAAAACUUGCCUUGGGAACCAAUACCAAGGUGCCACUUAGUUCUAUGACUCUCCCAAAUGGUGUCACCAGCACAGAAAAAGUACUGAGAGCAGGUGUUCCCGCAGGUGUGAAAUCAAGCAAGUCCUUGGCCUAAUUUCAGAUUUUGCUUCAGGGCU